rnacentral:rRNA from 1 species
UUCGGGGUACUCGAGCGGCGAACGGGUGAGUAACACGUGAGCAACCUGCCCCUGGCUCUGGGAUAGCCUCCGGAAACGGGGAUUAAUACUGGAUAUUCACUGCUUCCUGCAUGGGGGGUGGUGGAAAGUUUUUCGGUCAGGGUGGGGCUCGCGGCCUAUCAGCUUGUUGGGGGGGUGACGGCCCACCAAGGCGACGACGGGUAGCCGGCCUGAGAGGGCGACCGGCCACACUGGGACUGAGACACGGCCCAGACUCCUACGGGAGGCAGCAGUGGGGAAUAUUGCGCAAUGGGCGGAAGCCUGACGCAGCGACGCCGCGUGCGGGAUGAAGGCCUUCGGG